rnacentral:rRNA from 1 species
GAUGAACGCUGGCGGCGUGCUUAACACAUGCAAGUCGAACGGAAAGGCCCAAGCUUGCUUGGGUACUCGAGUGGCGAACGGGUGAGUAACACGUGGGUGAUCUGCCCUGCACUUCGGGAUAAGCCUGGGAAACUGGGUCUAAUACCGGAUAGGACCACAUUUUGGAUGGUGUGGUGGAAAGAUUUUCGGUGUGGGAUGAGCUCGUGGCCUAUCAGCUUGUUGGUGGGGUAAUGGCCUACGAAGGCGUCGACGGGUAGCCGGCCUGAGAGGGGGUACGGCCACAAUGGGACUGAGAGACGGCCCAGACUCGUACGGGAGGCAGUAGUGGGGAAUAUGGCACAAUGGGCGCAAGCCUGAUGCAGCGACGCCGCGUGGGGGAUGACGGCCUUCGGGUUGUAAACACCUUUCGCUAGGGACGAAGCGGUAGUGACGGUACCUGGAGAAGAAGCACCGGCUAACUACGUG